rnacentral:rRNA from 1 species
ACGGAGGGUGCAAGCGUUAUCCGGAUUUACUGGGUUUAAAGGGUGCGCAGGCGGAUAUGUAAGUCAGUGGUGAAAUCUCUAGGCUUAACCUGGAAAUUGCCGUUGAUACUAUAUAUCUUGAAUGCUGUGGAGGUAAGCGGAAUAUGUCAUGUAGCGGUGAAAUGCUUAGAUAUGACAUAGAACACCUAUUGCGAAGGCAGCCCCCUGGGAUAACACUGACGCUCAUGCACGAAAGCGUGGGGAGCAAACAGGA